UACCUUCGCCAUUCCAGAAUAAUGUCGUUUCAGCGCUCAAUAACUUGACAUCAAUUGCUUCCAGUUCUGACUUUUCACCUCAUUAUACCAGCCAACGAUGAGCUCCAGGUUGCCCACAAACUUCCGGAAAGUUUCGUUCUCUGAGAACAGACUCUCCGCACUGUCUGGAAUCUCUUUCUGUUGCUGGAAAUUCAAAUACUUGACUUCUCUCAGAACUGCCACCAACUAAAU
rnacentral:lncRNA from 1 species